rnacentral:rRNA from 1 species
CCUACGGGGGGCUGUAGUGAGGAAUAUUGGUCAAUGGGCGAGAGCCUGAACCAGCCAAGUCGCGUGAGGGAGUACUGCCCUAUGGGUUGUAAACCUCUUUUGUCGGGGAGCAAAAGCCGGACGUGUCCGGCUGUGAGAGUACCCGAAGAAAAAGCAUCGGCUAACUCCGUGCCAGCAGCCGCGGUAAUACGGAGGAUGCGAGCGUUAUCCGGAUUUAUUGGGUUUAAAGGGUGCGUAGGCGGUCCGUUAAGUCAGCGGUAAAAUUGCGGGGCUCAACCCCGUCGAGCCGUUGAAACUGGCAGACUUGAGUUGGCGAGAAGUACGCGGAAUGCGCGGUGUAGCGGUGAAAUGCAUAGAUAUCGCGCAGAACUCCGAUUGCGAAGGCAGCGUACCGGCGCCAGACUGACGCUGAGGCACGAAAGCGUGGGGAUCGAACAGGAUUAGAUACCCGAGUAGUC